rnacentral:lncRNA from 1 species
UUAAAAUGUAAGCACAAACUGAAAUAUGAUGUUCGUACGAUAAAACUGAUUUACGUCCAAACGCCGAUUCGGAAAAUGCAGAGCUUGAAACACGAUCGUAUAUGCGCAGAAGGCAGUAAGCUUUUGAGGAGGUUUGCAGUAAAGAUAAGAUGCUCAAAGUAAAUGCAAACCGAGAUUUAGAGUGGUUCGGUCAAUCUUGACCUACUCCACUUUUGGCUUCC